CCUACUGACAGAUACCUGUGCGGUGCGAGAUGCUGCACCUGCUGAAAAUAAUAAUAAGACAAAUACCAAGACCAUUUGUCUUUAUGAAAAAUGCAAUUUGGAAGUUAGGUGCUGCACUAUGGAGGAGAUUGGGAAGCGUUUCUACCUCUU